CCUACGGGAGGCAGCAGUGGGGAAUAUUGGACAAUGGGCGCAAGCCUGACCCAGCCAUGCCGCGUGUGUGAAGAAGGUCUUCAGAUUGUAAAGCACUUUAAGUUGGGAGGAAGGGCAGUAAGCGAAUACCUUGCUGUUUUGACGUUACCGACAGAAUAAGCACCGGCUAACUCCGUGCCAGCAGCCGCGGUAAUA
rnacentral:rRNA from 1 species